rnacentral:lncRNA from 1 species
ACAGUGUCCUCCCAACUCCUCCAGUAGAUGAACUUUCACAAUGCUUUUCAGACUCUUCUAUCUGUCAACCUUCUAUAGCACCUUUCGAAUUCCGCUAUCGGUCAACCUUCUGUCGGAUUCUUCAUACAACUGGACCUCUCCAGCGGACAAUCUUCAGACAAGCAUCUACAUCAGAUAAAUUCCAGACGGACUUCUCUAGCAAUC